AUGAAGAAAUGACCCUCAUUACUAGAAAGUUUAAGAAGUUUUUGAAAAAAAGAAGAUAAAGAAUGAGGAAGAGGCCACCUACAAAAGGAGAACAUAGCAAAGAGAAGGAUAAGCAGCAACCCCUUAUUUGUUAUGAAUGUAAGAAGUCGGAACACUUUAAGUCUGAAUAUCCAUAACUUAAGAAGGAUCUCAAAAAGUACAAGAAAAAGACUAUGAUGGCUACAU
rnacentral:lncRNA from 1 species